AUGAUUUCUCUUAUUCUAAUGCUGGGGACAUUCUGUCUGCUUGCUCAAGUGUCUCAUGAAGAGGUUCAGUCUCCUGAGUCUCUGUCUGUUAAAGCAGGAGAAUCUGUCUCUAUCAGCUGCACUGGGACCAGCGGAGUUGGUGAUGACAUGAGCUGGUAUCUGCAGAAAACUGGAGAGGCUCCUAAACUCCUGAUCUACACAGCCAGUCGACGUCAGUCUGGAGUCUCAGAUCGAUUCAGUGGAACUUAUUCUAGAUAUGUACUUACACUGAACAUACGUGGAGUCCAGUCUGAGGAUGCAGGAGUUUAUUACUAUGGGUCUCUCAUCAAGAGGUUCAUUCUCCUGACCCAUAGGAAAGAUGUACUGCUCAGUGGUUUCUUCCUGAGCUCAGGAGGCUUAGAUGAGAUUCUCAUAUCUCUAAUUGUAGUGUCAACAGCAAUUCAGAUGUCUCAGAUAUUUAUCCUAAAAAUCCUAAGGAGAAAUAAGAGUAGACACAACUGA